rnacentral:rRNA from 1 species
GGGCCCGCACAAGCGGUGGAGCAUGUGGUUUAAUUCGAUGCAACGCGAAGAACCUUACCAGGGCUUGACAUACUGCGAAUCUCCUUGAAAGAGGAGAGUGCCUUCGGGAAUGCAGAUACAGGUGGUGCAUGGCUGUCGUCAGCUCGUGUCGUGAGAUGUUGGGUUAAGUCCCGCAACGAGCGCAACCCUUGUUUUUAGUUACCAAUUCGUUGGGCUUUCUAGAAAGACUGCCGGUGACAAACCGGAGGAAGGUGAGGAUGACGUCAAGUCAGCAUGCCCCUUAUGUCCUGGGCUACACACGUGCUACAAUGGUAGUGACAAUGGGUUAAUCCCAAAAAGCUAUCUCAGUUCGGAUUGUCGUCUGCAACUCGACGGCAUG